rnacentral:misc_RNA from 1 species
UCAAGUCCCCCUUCAAGAGAUUGAGAACUUGUAGCAUUACCAUUCGAGGACGAGCUAGUUUUGCAACCGCAAUUAUGCUUUCUGGAUGGAUGUCCUUUUGCCGCAUUCGUCUUGCUUUACUCGAGGCAAGAAGGAGAACGGGAAUAAGACCCCGGCGCGGUUUGCGCCAAGGACGGUUGUUGUCGGAGGGCACCGCUGCUUUAUGUGGUACGGUGUAUCCUCCUACUAGGUUGAGAAUAUGCAUGACUCUUGGCAACGGAUAUCUAGGCUCUCGCGUCGAUGAAGAACGUAGCAAAAUGCGAUACUUGGUGUGAAUUGCAGAAUCCCGUGAACCAUCGAGUCUUUGAACGCAAGUUGCGCCUUAGACCAUCAGGUCAAGGGCACGCCUGCUUGGGCGUCACGCCUUGCGUCACUCCAAAAACCUACCCACUUAAACCAUUAUGUGGGUACCGUUGUGUGCGGAUGUGGAUAUUGACCCUUCGUGCUUUCGAUGUGCGUCGGGUUUGAGUGACGGUCGUUGCCAGGUUUUGCGUGCGGCGAAUGGUGGAUAGAUUAUGCGCAUGCAUCGAGCCUCCAGUUGCGCACGUGACUCCUAGCCAAGACUUACAAGAAGUUAAAGCCCAUAACGGUGUUUGCACAUUUUGCAAGAUCGGACC